rnacentral:sRNA from 1 species
GGCAGUGAGGCAGGAGGAUCCUUGAGUUUGAAGCCAGCCUGGGCAACUUCAAACUUCAACUAGGGAGACUCCCUUCUCACAAAAAAAAAAAAAAAAAAAGAAAACAAGAAAGAGCAGGAGGCAGAUGGGAAGAGGGAAGAAGGAACAAACGUCCUUAGACCGUGGAAUUUGUGUGUGGGAGGACUCCUUGCUCUGAGACUGACGUGGCUUAAGGCCACGACAACACUCUUCCUGGCACUCCGGAAUUUCCCGUUUUUAGGCCCCACAGCCUUGUGCCCUUGGAGCACCGUUUCUCUCCUUCGGUGGGCACCUCUAUUCAGCUCACAGGAUUGUGCUCCUUUCCUUAGGGACACACACAGUCCAGACAGUGCCGCGCCACGUGGCUCUGCAGUGUUCGUGAACAGGAAUUGCACGGAACUGAAUGCCCGGGAUCCCAGCUGAUAAAGGGAACCUGAGCUACCAACCAAGCUGCUCCUCUAAUCUUGAGAACUUCUGAUUCCCAGCCCUGCAGGGAAGACAUACUGGUAUCUGAUUAUUGUUCUUACAGAAACUAAGGAUGAAAACCGAAGAAGAGGCCCGGAUUCAUACGGAGAUUGAAAUGUUCCUUAGAAAGGAGCAGCAGAAACUUGAGGAGAGGCUAGAGUUCUGGAUGGAGAAAUAUGAUAAGGACACAGAAAUGAAACAGAAUGAACUAAAUGCUCUCAAAGCCGCAAAGGCCAGUGACUUAGCACACCUUCAAGACCUGGCAAAGAUGAUAAGAGAGUAUGAACAGGUCAUCAUUGAAGAUCGUAUAGAAAAGGAGAGGAGCAAGAAGAAGGUAGAACAGGAUCUCUUGGAAUUAAAGAGUGUUAUAAAGCUCCAGGCCUGGUGGCGAGGCACUAUGAUACGGAGAGAAAUUGGUGGUUUCAAGAUGCCUAAAGACAAAGUUGAUAGCAAGGAUUCAAAAGGCAAAGGUAAAGGCAAGGAUAAGAGGAGAGGCAAGAAGAAGUGACCAAGUUCUCUUCUGUGUUUUCCGCUGGUAUUCUGGAGGGGGAAGGACUUGGAGAGAGUUAAGAAACACCUGGUACCUCAAAGAUGACUCAUCUACAGGUUGUUUCCUAUUGAGACUUUCCCAGGGAAGCCUGAUUUCACUCGGGCUGUUAAUUUCACUCGGGCUGUUAAUUUCACUUGGCCUGUUAAUUUCACUCUGCCUGUUAGGUGGGUUUUCAAACCCUGAUUUAGGAUUAUACCAUUGACUUAGGGCUUCCUCAUACCUUUUUGGGAAGAAGUUUCUGGUAGUCCUGUGAAGAUUCAUUCUUCUUGCUCUUUCUCAGCAGAACAAAGGAGUUCAUUGGCUUAGUUACAGUGAUGCAUUAAAACUUCAGUAAUUCCUGUAAUGUCUGAUUCUGAUUUUACCCAAUUUGUCUGUAGUGAAAAAACUCUUAUGAGCAAAAGUAUUCAGUAGGAAUUACAAUAUGAUGUUACUAGCUGUCCAGCAUAAUAUAUACACAGCAAAGUUUUAAUAAAUGUUGGUUCCUGCCUGCCUUUU